rnacentral:rRNA from 1 species
GAUGAACGCUAGCGGCAGGCUUAACACAUGCAAGUCGAGGGGCAGCGCGGGAUAGCAAUAUCCUGGCGGCGACCGGCGGAAGGGUGCGUAACGCGUGAGCGACAUGCCCGUUGCCCGGGGACAACCGGUGGAAACGCCGACUAAUCCCCGAUGGGAUAUUGUGCCGCAUGGCACGAUAUUGAAAGUUACGGCGGCGACGGAUUGGCUCGCGUCCGAUUAGCUUGUUGGCGGGGUAACGGCCCACCAAGGCUGCGAUCGGUAGGGGCUCUGAGAGGAAGGCCCCCCACAAUGGGACUGAGACACGGCCCAUACUCCUACGGGAGGCAGCAGUGAGGAAUAUUGGUCAAUGGGCGGAAGCCUGAACCAGCCAUGCCGCGUGCGGGAAGGAGGCCCUAUGGGCUGUGAACCGCUUUUGCCUGGGGGCAAUAAGGGCGUCGCGCACGUCCGAUGAGAGUACCAGGCGAAUAAGCAUCGGCUAACUCCGUG